rnacentral:rRNA from 1 species
UGUAUAGCAAUAGCUGAUUGCACCAACAAAUACUUGAUGCAAUAUUGACUCUGUCAAAUAAAAUUCUAGGUAGAACUAUGAUAAUGACAUCGUCUGCCUAUGUGUCUUGACCAAAUUACGUGCCAGCAGUCGCGGUAAUACGUAGAAGACUAGUGUUAUUCAUCUUUAAUAGGUUUAAAGGGUACCUAGACGGUAAAUCAAGCCUUCACAGGGACUAAUUUACUAGAGUUACUUACGAGGGGGUAUUAAAGUACUGCAGGUGUAGAGAUGAAAUUCUGUCAUACCUCAUUUCAAAAGAAAAAUUAUGGCACAGGUAUAGGUGAAAGCAUCCCCUUAUGUGAUAACUGACGUUGAAGGACGAAGGCUUUGUGUCGCGAACAGGAUUAGAUACCCCAGUAGUCAAAGCAGAAAAUGAUGAAUGUCAUAGAUUAGAUAAAUAGUUUAUUCUAUAAAUGAAAAUGUAAGCAUUCCACCUCAAGAGUAAUUUGGCAACAUUGGAACUGAAAUCAUUAGACCGUUUCUGAAACCAGUAGUGAAGUAUGUUGUUUAAUUUGAUGAUCCGCAAAAAACCUUACCACAAUUUGAAUAUUUAUAUCUAUCUUUUUUUUCGUAAAUAAAUAAAAAGGUAAUAUAUUUACAAGCGUUGCACGGCUGUCUUCAGUUAAUGUCGCGAGACUUUGGUUAGUUCCAUUAAAUUAACGUAAACCCUUACUUUAUUUUUAUAUGAAGUAGUUCCCCGCUAUAUUGGAUAUGAUAACAGGGACUAAGA